CUCCUGUAAACCUAACCCUUGAAGUAUGAGCCACCCCCUUUUGCCCUCAAGGAUGAGGAAAAUGGAAAUUAAUAGUUCCUCACACCAAAGUCUGGAUUCAACCAUAUUUUACACCAGAGAGGGGGAUGAGGUUUUUUUAUGCUGUGUGACCAGGUAGACUUCUGGAGAACCACUUAAGAGCAAAGCAAGACAAUCUACUUCAUUUUAUCGGCUACGUAUCUAAAAGGUCACAUCCUGAAGAGUUUUGAGUCACAAGAAGAAAACAGGUAUUUUCACAAGAACUGAUCAAUUGGGGGGUAUUUUCAACUAUUUCUGGGUUUUUCUUUCAAAUAUUAUAUCUCAUUCCCAGGAAAUUAAAGCAUAUGCUAUCAAAGACUUGUCAAAGAUGCCAACUAAUUCAAAAUGAAUGACUAAACCUCAAAGAACUUACUAGGCAGGGACCAUUUUAAAUUCCUGAAAGCCAGCAAGGUUAACCAGUAUCAAGGAAUAAAUUGGUCUAUCAUACACCAUUCUUACUGCUCUGAAGAAAACUCAAGCACUUUCACAUUGAAUCCCCUGUUAUCCUGCCUAGCAACUACCCAUCAAUUUCAUGAAAAGGCACCCAUCUAUAAAUUUAAUACCUGCUUACCUCUUCUUCCUCCCAAAACUCCAGUAAAAAAGGCAGAAUAAAAGUUAUAGAGCCAUAAUAAUAAACAUAGGAGGUAACAAUACUGAGCAAGAUUUCAGCAAAUGUAUUGAAUAUAGGAA
rnacentral:lncRNA from 1 species